UACGUAGGGUGCAAGCGUUGUCCGGAAUCACUGGGCGUAAAGGGCGCGUAGGUGGUCUGAUAAGGGUGUGGUGAAAGCCCGGGGCUCAACCCCGGGUCGGCCGUGCCGACUGUUAGACUAGAGUGCUGUAGGGGCAGGCGGAAUUCCGGGUGUAGCGGUGGAAUGCGUAGAGAUCCGGAGGAAGACCGGUGGCGAAGGCGGCCUGCUGGGCAGUUACUGACACUGAGGCGCGACAGCGUGGGGAGCAAACAGG
rnacentral:rRNA from 1 species